UCCCCUUGUACGCUAAUUUCAG
rnacentral:siRNA from 1 species